rnacentral:rRNA from 1 species
CCUACGGGAGGCAGCAGUGGGGAAUAUUGGGCAAUGGAGGCAACUCUGACCCAGCAACGCCGCGUGAAUGAUGAAGGUCUUCGGAUUGUAAAGUUCUUUUCUAAGGGAAGAAGAAAGUGACGGUACCUUAGGAAUAAGCCUCGGCUAACUACGUGCCAGCAGCCGCGGUAAUACGUAGGAGGCAAGCGUUAUCCGGAAUGACUGGGCGUAAAGGGUGCGUAGGUGGUUUGACAAGUUGGUAGCGUAACUCCGGGGCUCAACUUCGGAACUACUACCAAAACUGUUGGACUCGAGUGCAGGAGGGGCAACUGGAAUUUCUAGUGUAGCGGUGGAAUGCGUAGAUAUUAGGAAGAACACCGGUGGCGAAGGCGAGUUGCUAGACUGUAACUGACACUGAGGCACGAAAGCGUGGGGAGCAAACAGGAUUAGAUACCCUUGUAGUC